AAUAUAGAUGAAUGGAGAUGAAAAAUAAAAAUCUCCACUCCUAUUGGUCAAAAAUCAUGACCAAUGGGCUUUGAGGAGGCUGCCCGAGGCCAUAUUAGGGAUUAGGGUUAGUUUCCGGAGGCCAUUCGAGUUUUUGAGGCUAGGGCAAAAGGUUUAGGUUUUUGGAUAUGGUUUUGGUGCAAAAUUUGUGUCAUUUGGGGUUUAUAUGAAGAAGUUAUAGGCGCUCAAAGUUAAGGUGUAAGUUUUCGACGUACUGUCACUCUUUUGAGCAUACCGCAAGCGUACGGACGGCAAACGAGGAUCGGCGACCGGAUUUGAAGAGAACACUUUUUCGGCUACAGUUUGUGCAUAUUGUUUAUCGAAUUCCAAGCUUUUAUGAAGGAGAUAUUGGCAGUUGAAGUCAGCGCUUGAUAUCUAAGGGUAGUAAGUAGCCCGAAUUACUUGUGCUUGUGAUUUGAGCUAUAUCUUAGACAAUUUGAUGAGGUUUUAGCUCAAAAUUUUCAAGAUUAAGUGCAAUCUUGUUAUAAAGCU
rnacentral:lncRNA from 1 species